rnacentral:pre_miRNA from 1 species
UUAACUCAUAUUUGUAUGGAGUUGAAACGUUUGUCUACGUUUGCCGCUAGGGGCGCUGUUCCAACUGCAAAAAAGAUAACUUU